CAGCCGCCGCGGGAAUACGGAGGGGGCUAGCGUUGUUCGGAAUUACUGGCGUAAAGCGCACGUAGGCGGCUUUGUAAGUUAGAGGUGAAAGCCCAGGGCUCAACCCUGGAAUUGCCUUUAAGACUGCCGAGCUAGUAGGUGAGAGAGGUGAGUGGAAUUCCGAGUGUAGAGGUGAAAUUCGUAGAUAUUCGGAAGAACACCAGUGGCGAAGGCGGCUCACUGGCUCAUUCUAGACGCUGAGGUGCGAAAGCGUGGGGAGCAAACAGGAUUAGAUACCCCCGUAGUCCCUGUCUCUUAUACA
rnacentral:rRNA from 1 species